GAUGAACGCUAGCUACAGGCUUAACACAUGCAAGUCGAGGGGCAGCAUGGCCUUAGCUUGCUAAGGCCGAUGGCGACCGGCGCACGGGUGAGUAACACGUAUCCAACCUGCCGUCUACUCUUGGACAGCCUUCUGAAAGGAAGAUUAAUACAAGAUGGCAUCAUGAGUCCGCAUGUUCACAUGAUUAAAGGUAUUCCGGUAGACGAUGGGGAUGCGUUCCAUUAGAUAGUAGGCGGGGUAACGGCCCACCUAGUCUUCGAUGGAUAGGGGUUCUGAGAGGAAGGUCCCCCACAUUGGAACUGAGACACGGUCCAAACUCCUACGGGAGGCAGCAGUGAGGAAUAUUGGUCAAUGGGCGAGAGCCUGAACCAGCCAAGUAGCGUGAAGGAUGACUGCCCUAUGGGUUGUAAACUUCUUUUAUAAAGGAAUAAAGUCGGGUAUGGAUACCCGUUUGCAUGUACUUUAUGAAUAAGGAUCGGCUAACUCCGUGCCAGCAGCCGCGGUAAUACGGAGGAUCCGAGCGUUAUCCGGAUUUAUUGGGUUUAAAGGGAGCGUAGAUGGAUGUUUAAGUCAGUUGUGAAAGUUUGCGGCUCAACCGUAAAAUUGCAGUUGAUACUGGAUAUCUUGAGUGCAGUUGAGGCAGGCGGAAUUCGUGGUGUAGCGGUGAAAUGCUUAGAUAUCACGAAGAACUCCGAUUGCGAAGGCAGCCUGCUAAGCUGCAACUGACAUUGAGGCUCGAAAGUGUGG
rnacentral:rRNA from 1 species